GCCGCCCCCCCGGCACGCCUGCGGGGGGGGGCGCGGGGGGGCGGAGCCUUUGGGGGCUCGCAGGGGCUCCGCCCACUUCUCCAGCCUCGAGUCCGAGGUAUGACCGGGGGUUUGGGGGGGGGCAGAGGGGACAUCGGGACCCCCCCCCCGGGGACCCCCCGGGACCCUCAGAGCCCCCAUUGUCCCCGACACUUGGGGGAGGGGGGGCUGGUGGCCCCCGUGGUGACAACGGGGACACAGAGGGGACCCCUCAGGACCGUGAGGUGACACCAGCGAGGACAAGGACAGGUGGCACCUGAGGUGACAAUGAGGACAAGGAGGACAAGGACAGGUCCCCAUGAGGUGACACCAUGAAGGACAAGGACAGGUGGCACCUGCAGUGACAACGAGGACAAUGAGGACAAGGACGGGUCCCCAUGAGGUGACACCUCGAGGACAAGGACAGGUGGCACCUGAGGUGACAACGGGGACACGGACAGGGCCCUGUGGCCCCUGAGGUGACACUCGUGGUGACAAGGACGAGGACAGUCCCCACAGUGACACCGGCGGGGACAAGGACAGGCCCCACUGAGGACACGGUUUGUCCCCUCGUCCCCAAAGUGCCACCAGGGACACGAGUCGCGUCACCCCGAGCCCGAGGGUGACACUGCGGCCACCAGCACGGCCCUGGGGACAACUCGGGGUGUCCCUGCACCCGUGGGUGGCAUUGUGACCCUGUGGGUGACACUGAGACCCUGUGGGUGACACUGAGACCCCGGGGGUGACACUGUGACCCCAUGAGUGACACUGUGACCCCAUGAGUGACACUGUGACCCUGUGGGUGACUCUGAGACCCCAUGAGUGACUCUGAGACACCACAGGUGACACUGUGACCCUAUGGGUGACACUGUGACCCUAUGGGUGACACUGUGACCCCACAGGUGACACUGUGACCCCAUGAGUGACACUGUGACCCUGCAGGUGACACCGUGAUCCUGUGAGUGACUCUGUGACCCCAUGAGUGACAUUGUGACCCUGUAGGUGACACUGUGACCCCCUGAGUGACACUGUGACCCCGUGGGUGACACUGUGACCCCGCAGGUGACACUGUGACCCCACAGGUGACACUGAGACCCCAUGAGUGACUCUGAGACCCCACAGGUGACACUGAGACCCCCUGAGUGACACUGUGACCCCGUGGGUGACAUUGAGACCCCAUGGGUGGCACUGUGACCCAGCGGGUGACACUGUGACCCCACAGGUGACCCUGUGACCCCACAGAUGACACUGUGACCCUGCAGGUGACACCGUGUCCCUUCAGGUGACACUGUGACCCCACAGGUGACCCUGUGACCCCGCAGGUGACCCUGUGACCCCACGGGGUGACCCCACCGCCACGGAGGACACGCCCGGUCCCCGAGGGUGACACUGUGACCCCCCAACAGCCCCUGGAGGACACCACCGUGUCCCCUCCCCCCGGUGGCACCGCGGCCACGCCCCGGGGGGGUGACACCGCGCCGGGUGUUGGGGACACUCCUGUCCCCUCCCCCCGCUAGCGGGGGAUGGGCUGGCACCAUCCGCUGUCCCCGUGUGUCCCCUCCCCCGCCCCGCGCUGCUGACGAAGUUUUUAAUUA